AGCGAACGCUGGCGGCAGGCCUAACACAUGCAAGUCGAACGAACUCUUCGGAGUUAGUGGCGGACGGGUGAGUAACACGUGGGAACGUGCCUUUAGGUUCGGAAUAACUCAGGGAAACUUGUGCUAAUACCGAAUGUGCCCUUCGGGGGAAAGAUUUAUCGCCUUUAGAGCGGCCCGCGUCUGAUUAGCUAGUUGGUGAGGUAAAGGCUCACCAAGGCGACGAUCAGUAGCUGGUCUGAGAGGAUGAUCAGCCACAUUGGGACUGAGACACGGCCCAAACUCCUACGGGAAGCAGCAGUGGGGAAUCUUGCGCAAUGGGCGAAAGCCUGACGCAGCCAUGCCGCGUGAAUGAUGAAGGUCUUAGGAUUGUAAAAUUCUUUCACCGGGGACGAUAAUGACGGUACCUGGAGAAGAAGCCCCGGCUAACUUCGUG
rnacentral:rRNA from 1 species